rnacentral:rRNA from 1 species
AUUGAACGCUGGCGGCAUGCCUUACACAUGCAAGUCGAACGGCAGCACGGGUGCUUGCACCUGGUGGCGAGUGGCGAACGGGUGAGUAAUACAUCGGAACAUGUCCUGUAGUGGGGGAUAGCCCGGCGAAAGCCGGAUUAAUACCGCAUACGAUCUACGGAUGAAAGCGGGGGACCUUCGGGCCUCGCGCUAUAGGGUUGGCCGAUGGCUGAUUAGCUAGUUGGUGGGGUAAAGGCCUACCAAGGCGACGAUCAGUAGCUGGUCUGAGAGGACGACCAGCCACACUGGGACUGAGAAACGGCCCAGACUCCUACGGGAGGCAGCAGUGGGGAAUUUUGGACAAUGGGCGAAAGCCUGAUCCAGCAAUGCCGCGUGUGUGAAGAAGGCCUUCGGGUUGUAAAGCACUUUUGUCCGGAAAGAAAUCCUUGGCUCUAAUACAGUCGGGGGAUGACGGUACCGGAAGAAUAAGCACCGGCUAACUACGUG